CAGGGGGUAUUUUAUAAUUAAAAUGUUGGUUUUGGGUAUUAACGAAAGGGUAUUGGCCUUUCCCCUGA
rnacentral:tRNA from 1 species